rnacentral:lncRNA from 1 species
GUCGGAGGCCCUUGUGGGGUCCCCAAGAUGCUACCCCCUGAGAUUUGGGGCCAGUGGGCACAGAGACAAGUCUGUGUCUUGGCUGGGAGCAAGAGGCCACCCCCACCUCACCUGGCUGUGAACAGUGGGCCAGCAGAGCCCUGGGUCCCUGCUGGCCUGGCAGGCACUCCUUCAGGAAUCUGUGGUCACCACAAGGAGUCCACGCUUUGAGUGCACUGGCCAUUCAGGGGGGUUCAGAUUGCCAGGGGAAACUGAGGCUCAGGUUGGCCCAGGGUUCACUCAAUUUCUCAGACACCAAGAAUAGCCAGUCCUGACUCCGGGGGCUGCUCCGUCUCAGGUGAGGAACAGCAUCUUAGCCACCAGGAGGCAGAGCUGCUUGCGUGUUGAGGACGAGGGGAAAGGUGUGCUGGGGUCACAGGGUCCCAGGACGAGACCUGGGAGGAGACCCAGAGAGAGGGAAGAGGUGGCUCCAGAGUCCCCAGGUUGGAGGACAGCCAGACUGAGCUCCUCCUCCAGUCCUUUCAACCAGAGGCCCCCUACCUCUGACCCCAGGCCUGGCCACCCGGAGCCCUUGACUAACAAGGAGCCCUUGACUGCCACCAUCCUGCCUCACCCUGGGUGGGCAUUAGCUUGGUCAUUGCCCUGGCACUACUGAAACAAAAAAGCCCAGGGCAAAUGCUGGUGGCCACCUCCCUGGACAUCCAGAACAGGAUGGUGGCAGGCGGGAAGCCCGAGGACCUGUGGCCUAGCCUGGGAGAGCUGAUGUGUGGGGAUGAGUCCCGCUGCCCUGCCCCCAGGCCCCAGGGCAGUAGGUGUAGACACUAAUUAGCAGGCCCAGGACCUGGGGACUGGGGGGGGACUCACUCCCAGGCUGCUGGAAGUGGCCUUGGAGCCUGAGGGCAACUUGGUGCAGAGGGAGGGAGGUAAGGCAGGAUCUGAGCCUCCCCUGGA